rnacentral:rRNA from 1 species
GAUGAACGCUGGCGGUAUGCCUAACACAUGCAAGUCGUACGAGAGUUUUUAACUCAAGUGGCGGACGGGUGAGUAACACGUGAGUAUUUACCUUUAGGAGGGGGACAACAAUUGGAAACGAUUGCUAAUACCCCAUAUGCUUUAGAGUGAAAUGGAUUUAUCCGCCUAAAGAAAAGCUCGCGGCUGAUUAGCUAGUUGGUAAGGUAAUGGCUUACCAAGGCGACGAUCAGUAUCUGGUUUGAGAGGACGAUCAGACACACUGGAACUGAGACACGGUCCAGACUCCUACGGGAGGCAGCAGUGGGGAAUUUUCCGCAAUGGGCGAAAGCCUGACGGAGCAAUACCGCGUGAGGGAAGACUGCCUAUGGGUUGUAAACCUCUUUUUUCAGGGAGGAAUAAAUGACGUGUACCUGAAGAAUAAGCAUCGGCUAACUCCGUGCCAGCAGCCGCGGUAAGACGGAGGAUGCAAGUGUUAUCCGGAAUCACUGGGCGUAAAGCGUCUGUAGGUGGUUAGGUAAGUCAACUGUUAAAUCUUGAGGCUCAACCUCAAAAUCGCA